rnacentral:rRNA from 1 species
AAUAGAUACCCGGGUAGUCCACCCCGUAAACGUUGGGAACUAGUUGUGGGGUCCAUUCCACGGAUUCCGUGACGCAGCUAACGCAUUAAGUUCCCCGCCUGGGGAGUACGGCCGCAAGGCUAAAACUCAAAGGAAUUGACGGGGACCCGCACAAGCGGUGGAGCAUGCGGAUUAAUUCGAUGCAACGCGAAGAACCUUACCAAGGCUUGACAUAUAGAGGAAACGUCUGGAAACAGUCGCCCCGCAAGGUCUCUAUACAGGUGGUGCAUGGUUGUCGUCAGCUCGUGUCGUGAGAUGUUGGGUUAAGUCCCGCAACGAGCGCAACCCUCGUUCUAUGUUGCCAGCACGUAAUGGUGGGAACUCAUGGGAUACUGCCGGGGUCAACUCGGAGGAAGGUGGGGAUGACGUCAAAUCAUCAUGCCCCUUAUGUCUUGGGCUUCACGCAUGCUACAAUGGCCGGUACAAAGGGCUGCAAUACCGUGAGGUGGAGCGAAUCCCAAAAAGCCGGUCCCAGUUCGGAUUGAGGUCUGCAACUCGACCUCA